UUCUGAUAAUAUUUGAAAAGAAGUAUGAAUAAUACAAUUGAAACUAUUUAAAUUAUUGUACAUGUGUAAUUAGUGAUUAUUUGUGACAUUUUCUUUCUUUCUCGUAGCUUCAAUGAAAAACUGCUGAAGCCCCACGAUAAGGGAAGCUAGCACACAGUUUUUUUUUUUUUUGAAGCUGGUAUAGAGUUGGUCUUUUAAGAACAUAGUUUACUAGUAGUUAAAUUAAUUUCCUCUUCAGUCAGUUUUAUUUGUAUUCUUGCCUUUUAUUUUAUUUAAAAACUAAGAAUGGUUAGGCCCUGUUUGGAUUGCAUUUUCCACGGAAAAAUGCUAUUUUCUGUAGGAUGGGGCCCACAAUUUUUCACUGAAAAAUUGUCUACUUUUUUCACAGCUUCAGAAAUUACCCACCAAAAUUUGCACUGUUUGGACUGUAGCUGACAAAACAUAUACCUGUUAGCUACCUUACUUUACUUUCUUUAAAACGGUCAGGAAUCUUGCCAUAAUGCUUUUUGGUUGAAUUUUUGUUUCAAAACAUAUCCUUUGAACAAUUUUUCAUCUCCCGCAUUUCACCGAAAUCCUCCUCGGAGAUUCGACGGAUCAUUCAGAUCCCAAGCUUUCUGUGAGCAUCUUGCAGCAGAUCACCAACCAUUUAUUCCAGCGCAGAAAGUUGUGAACGAGGGAGGGGGGGAGCCUACUUCGUGCUGCCGUCAAUUGCUGCCAACAGGCUCAAACGUUGGUAGUUCUCGGAGGUUAGAGAAAGCUGAUUUUUGCACCGGACAUUGUCGUUUCACCAGCUGUUGCAGGAACACAAGGAAGUGGGCAACUUGUCAAAAAAUAACAUUAAUGGCUGUGUGUUUGAGGAUGUGCGGAAUAGACUCAACAUGAGGUUUAGCCAUAUGUCAUACGAUUAUGAUCAAGUCAAAAGGAAGUACUGCAGUUUCAUGAGGGUUGCCCGCCUGUUUAAGGAAAUUGGGGGCCAAACUGGCAUAGGAUGGAAUGAAACAUUUAAGUGCUUUGCUGCACCAAAUUAUGUUUGGAGAUACUAUGGCCAGGACAAAGACAUAAGUAUUAUCAAGAAUCAGCCCAGCGACCAUUACUGGAAUUUGAUUGAACUUUUUGAAUAUAUUGGCGCCCUAGGAACUUACGGCCAGUCUUCUAAUGACCCACCUCUAACUGGGGAAGAAGCCUGAUCAAGGCAAACGAACUAUGGUAGAAAUGGGGGUAACUAUACAAUAGGUACAGAGAGGUCUGUGCCUAUACAGGAAACGCCAAUUGAUGUAGAUGCUGAGAAUUGUGAAGCUGUCUCUGAUGAGGAGCCACAAGUUCGGGGUGCCCAGAAGGGGAAACGUAAAAAUAGUUGAGCUAGCUCUUCUUUGCAAGAGGGUUCAAGGUCUUUGUCUGAGAAGAGAAAGCAUGAUGAAAUAUAUGAUCGUGCUUAUGAGGAGUUCGGCCUUGCAGCUGAGGCAAAGCGUGAAUACUACUCCAGUAAGUCUGGAUCAUAUAAUUCACCUGACCCCAAUUCUCAGUUCUCCGCCGCCAACUGUGUACAAAAAAUGGACAAAUUGAAAACAUUCCUCCUUUCUGGUCAAGCCAAUAAGGCAUACACUUUUUUUUAAGGAAGAUGUUUGGAGACAGAUGUUUAUAGCAAUGUCCACUGCCCAGAGGAUUUCAUGGAUUAAUAGCCUAUAACUUGAUGGGUUGCUGAUGUAUCCUCAAUUUAUUUUACGUAGGCCCGUUAAACUUGUAUUGGAGAGCACUUGGUCUGUGUUAACUUAGCUGUUGUAUGAUGCUAUUUUCAACAUUUUCAGUUAUAUAAGGCAUUAGU